CUCGUGCACCAGACUUGUCUUCCUGCACCAGACUUGUCCUCCUGCACCAGACUUGUCCUCCUGCACCAGACUUGUCCUCCUGCACCAGACUUGUCCUCCUGCACCAGACUUGUCCUCCUGCACCUGCCAGAAUUCAUAUGCUUGUCCCGAAGACUCAAGCCAUGCAUGCCUAGAAGAAAAAUUGGCGCCCUACUGGUGCGCGGGCCCUCCCAGGCCCGUUAGUGCCGACCGGGAUUGUCAAGGAAUCAGCGAACGGCUCCGCAUAUCUGUUGUCACCUAUCGUGGUAAAUACGGCGUGGAUAGAGCACGGAAAAGCUGUGUAUAACACAGAACAGUGGGGUCACCGCUGCCCGUUGGCAUGGGCAGUGGGGAUAAGUGGGCCCAUACGUAUGGGCCCCACCUCAUGAACGGCUCUUAAAGUAGUACAGGGACUAAAGACCCCUGGGCGAAACAGAGGCCUCUGCCUCGGACAUGUCUACCAACUGCCUUGACCGGGGUUGGUCUUGUCUGAGCGCGGCAGAGCCCAUCCACAAGCGCACGAUGGACUUCAGACCUAUCAGCUAGACGGUAGGGUAUUGGCCUACCGUGGCGAUGACGGGUACAGAGGAUUAGGGUUUGAUCCUGGAGAGGUAGCCUGAGAAAUCGCUCCCACUUCUAAGGAAGGCAGCAGGCGCGUAACGUUCCCAAUGCUAGUACCCCUAGUGAGGACGUAAUGGGACAUAACAAUACCCCUUAUUGUUAGUGGGUAAUGACAAUGGGC
rnacentral:rRNA from 1 species